rnacentral:pre_miRNA from 1 species
ACAAGAAACGGACCGUCGGUCUAUGGAGCAAUAUUACCCGCUCGGUGGAAGAUCUUUCCUUUCGUCGU